AGAAUUUGAUCUUGGUUCAGGAUGAACGCUGGCGGCGUGCCUAACACAUGCAAGUCGAGCGAUUCUCUUCGGAGAAGAGCGGCGGACGGGUGAGUAACGCGUGGGUAACCUGCCCUGUACACACGGAUAACAUACCGAAAGGUAUGCUAAUACGGGAUAAUAUAUAAAAGUCGCAUGGCUUUUUAUAUCAAAGCUCCGGCGGUACAGGAUGGACCCGCGUCUGAUUAGCUAGUUGGUGAGGUAAUGGCUCACCAAGGCGACGAUCAGUAGCCGACCUGAGAGGGUGAUCGGCCACACUGGAACUGAGACACGGUCCAGACUCCUACGGGAGGCAGCAGUGGGGAAUAUUGCACAAUGGGCGAAAGCCUGAUGCCAGCAACGCCGCGUGAGCGAUGAAGGCCUUCGGGUCGUAAAGCUCUGUCCUCAAGGAAGAUAAUGACGGUACUUGAGGAGGAAGCCCCGGCUAACUACGUGCCAGCCGCCGC
rnacentral:rRNA from 1 species